rnacentral:tRNA from 1 species
CCGCCAUUAGCUCAACUGGAAGAGUAAUUAGUCUUAGCGAAACUAAGAGUCGAGGUUCGAUGCCUCGAUGGCGGACCA